CUUUUUUUCCGGCGACAACUGCCCUAUUUCCGGCCACCUCUGUUUUUUUUUUUUCCCUUCUUCUAUUCUCUUCUUCUUUUUCUGUUUUUCUCUGUUCAAAUUCAAUGGACUUUUAGUAUUGCACUAUUGCUUAAAUUUUAGUGUUGCUUGUCUUGUCACUUAUGAAUUAUUGAGUCAUUGACUCAUUCAAGUUCUAGACUUUUAGUA